rnacentral:rRNA from 2 species
ACAUGCAAGUCGAAAGUGAAGCCGGACUUCGGUCCGGUGGAAACUGGCGCACGGGUGAGUAACGCGUGGGGAUAUGCCCAAGGGUACGGAAUAACCGUUGGAAACGACGGCUAAUACCGUAUGCUCCCUCAGGGGAAAAGCUUCGGCGCCCUUGGAUUAUCCCGCGUCCGAUUAGCUUGUUGGUGAGGUAACGGCUCACCAAGGCUCCGAUCGGUAGCUGGUCUGAGAGGACGAUCAGCCACACUGGGACUGAGACACGGCCCAGACUCCUACGGGAGGCAGCAGUGGGGAAUAUUGGACAAUGGGGGCAACCCUGAUCCAGCCAUGCCGCGUGAGUGAAGAAGGCCUUAGGGUUGUAAAGCUCUUUCAGCGGGGAAGAUGAUGACGGUACCCGCAGAANAAGCCCCGGCUAACUCCGUGCCANCAGCCGCGGUAAUACNGAGGGGGCUAGCGUUGCUCGGAAUUACUGGGCGUAAA